rnacentral:lncRNA from 1 species
CCAGCUCCGCGUGCAUCGGGACGGUUGCCCCCCACCGGACACCAGGGCUCCUGGCUCUUCCUCCAGUGUCCCUCAGACUGGGCUGCGCCUGCACCGGAGCUGCACCCGGCCUUCCAGUUGACAGAGAACCAAAACUAAUUUUGAGGAGCAAAUCACCCUCCUUGGAACAGAGCAGAGAUCUUCACACACUGAUGGUCAACACUAACCCAGAAGCAUUUUCAAAGCAAGAGGUCAACCCCAGGAGUUCACACCAUAGGUUUCUCAAAACAAUAGUGGAAUCAAAAGAACAAUUUGACUUAUUUACUGAAAACCAGGAAGAAAACAGUAGAGGACAAAUUUGAAUUCAUAUACAGCUCUGGGCUUUAGACAAAUCACUUAAGCCCUCUGCACCUCAUGUCCACAUCUGUGGAAACAUAAUCCCUGGGGGCAUGGAGUAUGCAGACGAUUAAGGGAGACAGGAUCUGCCAUCACGUGCUUGGUGUAUCUCCCGGAGUGAGAACAAAAGUUUUCCUUCAAGUGAUACCGACUCCAUUCAGUCAGUGGAAAUGGCAAAGACUAGAUUUACCAGGUCGCAUCAACUCCAGAAUCAACUUGAAGAAUAAAUGCACAGGACAGACAGACUGGGAAGUGAUGCACUGAUCCACAUUGGUAAAAAACAAGACUUAGAUUCACAAAAGAAAAUUAAGAAAACUAUGCUACUCCUCACUUCCAGAAACCACAGGACCACCUGGACCUGUUCACAACAGUGCCCUGUAUGUUAUGUUAGCUGGCAACAAAACAAUUGUGAAGUUUGUUUGUGUUUAGAAAUAAUAGAGAGCACAAGUGACAGCAAAGCUACUUCCAGAAGUGUCUGCCACCCGGCUCUAAGACAGUGCUUUCCACCUUUUGGAUGUUUUUUUUUCCAAGGGUGCAAAGUGCACCCUGCACCAGGAUGCGUCGCACCACACCCUUGAAGAGGACAGUUUCACUCCACAGACCUUCCGGCUCUGAGUCACAGAACAGCCGACACAAGCUGAAAACUACACCUUAAUCAGGGGAUGCGGAACAGCAUGUCCACCAGGCGGUUUGUGACAUAUCAUACCAGAAAGUUCAUCUGCACCCCAGCCCAGGCUGGCGAUGCGGCAUGGCAUGUCACAGAGUCUCUUUUAGCUUCUGUGACUGCGCACUCCACAUGCUGCCAUUUACAGUCCACGGUGUGCAGCAAGUCUAUUUUCUGUCAAGAUGGGCUGGGUUUCACAGCUCUGCACAUGACAUCCAGUCACUCUACUUGGCUCUUAAUGCUUAGCAUGGUGGAGUCUUGAUUUUUGGCUGAUUGCCUCCAAUAUGUUCAAUUUUGGAUGAUUUUUAGAGUAGGUUUGCGAAAUGAGGCCCUAGAGAUGUGAAAAAUGUAUAGGUUUCUUUAAAGGGCUGCGGGACACACUCAGUCUGCUGUCACAAGCGCCAUUUGGUAGCCACGGUGUUAGUUCUCGCCUCUGUGCUUGGGGCCCCUGGGCUCUGGAGAGGAUUGGGUGGCAGAGAGCGGGUGAGGACCAGGGCGGCCCCAGGCUGCCUGCAGGAGGGGGAGUGAGGGGCCAAGGUGGACGGAGAGACUGCCCUGCAUCACACACGUUCACUGCUGGCACUGUUUGUUUAUUCAUUUGUUUGUUUACCUGGCACAUGUAUCCUUUUAUAAUUCAAAACUUGAAGACACUAAUACUUCUAAUGCUAUUGUAAUUUUUAAAAUCGCCUUCUGUAUGUCACUUCUAUUUUCCUAACGUUAACAAGUCUCACAAAUGCAGACUCUAGCCUGAGACAGUGCAUGGCUUCCUGAGUCUGAGCCUGACCAUGGCAUAGCACUUUGAAGCCUUUCUGCUGCUUCCACAGAUACGGGGUUUUGGUCCCCACCUUCCACCAGCCUGACUGCAAAACUGUUACCUGUGUGUUAGCGAUGCCCUCUGGGGUCUGAACUGCCCAGGAUGAUGUCCAGGAGAUGCUCAACUGAGCACCUCCAGGAUUAAUCAAAAGCUGAGAUGACUGGAUGUGGCACAUCCCUCUCCUUGCUGCCAGGACACUGGAAUGAAGUAGCUAAUAGUUUAGUCAAAGAGCAAAUAUAAUCAGGAGAUCUACCUGCUCAGGCUAAGUUUGAUGUUUUCAAAUAUUUAAAACUAUCAUCACUGAUAAAAACUGUCUGAAAGACACCAGAUAAUAGACAAAAGGGAAAUUCAUUAUUUAUUACUACAUC